AUGUCGUCUCCCUCCUCCAACAAUGGUGACAACGAUGCUUGGCUAGUGAAGAUAGAUCUGAAGAGGGAAGAACCCACGAAGGUCAACAAGGAUGAAAUGAUCAAGAAGGCCACGGAGGAUCAAGCUCCAGCAGCAGAAGACACCCUUCAAAUUGAUCAUAACCUUCUUACCCCAACUGAGAUCGAAGCUUUCAAGAUGAUUGAGUUAGCUCGUGUUCAAAACAAGUAUCUCACACAAGAAAAUAUUUUGCUGAAGGAGCAUAUUGUCGCACUCAAGGGCAUUAUUCGCAAGCUGGAGGACCUCUUAUGCUCGAUGUGCGAUUAUCCGUCACCUCCACCUUCGCCAUCUCCUCCAACAAAGAAGAAUUGA
rnacentral:rRNA from 1 species